AACGAACGCUGGCGGCAUGCCUAACACAUGCAAGUCGAACGAACCCUUCGGGGAUAGUGGCGCACGGGUGCGUAACGCGUGGGAACCUGCCCUUAGGUUCGGAAUAACUCAGAGAAAUUUGAGCUAAUACCGGAUAAUGUCUUCGGACCAAAGAUUUAUCGCGUUUGGAUGGGCCCGCGUUGGAUUAGCUAGUUGGUUGGGUAAAGGCCUACCAAGGCGACGAUCCAUAGCUGGUCUGAGAGGAUGAUCAGCCACACUGGGACUGAGACACGGCCCAGACUCCUACGGGAGGCAGCAGUGGGGAAUAUUGGACAAUGGGGGAAAGCAUGAUCCAGCAAUGCCGCGUGAGUGAUGAAGGCCUUAGGGUUGUAAAGCUCUUUUACCCGGGAUGAUAAUGACAGUACCGGGAGAAUAAGCCCCGGCUAACUCCGUG
rnacentral:rRNA from 1 species